rnacentral:tRNA from 1 species
UCCGAAUUAACUCAGUUGGCAGAGUGCCCGGUUGUUAACCGGUGAGUCCCUGGUUCGAGCCCAGGAUUCGGAG